rnacentral:rRNA from 1 species
AUACGGAGGAUGCGAGCGUUAUCCGGAUUUAUUGGGUUUAAAGGGAGCGUAGGUGGGAUAUUAAGUCAGCUGUGAAAGUUUGGGGCUCAACCUUAAAAUUGCAGUUGAUACUGGUUUCCUUGAGUACGGUACAGGUGGGCGGAAUUCGUGGUGUAGCGGUGAAAUGCUUAGAUAUCACGAAGAACUCCGAUUGCGAAGGCAGCUCACUGGACUGCAACUGACACUGAUGCUCGAAAGUGUGGGUAUCAAACAGGAUUAGAUACCCUGGUAGUCCACACAGUAAACGAUGAAUACUCGCUGCUUGCGAUAUACAGUAAGCGGCCAAGCGAAAGCAUUAAGUAUUCCACCUGGGGAGUACGCCGGCAACGGUGAAACUCAAAUGAAUUGACGGGG